CGCUUACCACUUUGUGAUUCAUGACUGGGGUGAAGUCGUAACAAGGUGACCGUAGGGGAACCUGCGGUUGGAUCACCUCCUUACCUUAAAGAAGC
rnacentral:rRNA from 1 species